rnacentral:rRNA from 1 species
AAAAGAAGAUCAAGAAGAGCUUCAGAAUGAAGCUUUCUUGAUGGAGGGGAGCGGCAGACGGGUGAGUAACGCGUGGGAACGUACCCUUUGCUACGGAAUAGCUCCGGGAAACUGGAAUUAAUACCGUAUGUGCCCUACGGGGGAAAGAUUUAUCGGCAAAGGAUCGGCCCGCGUUGGAUUAGCUAGUUGGUGGGGUAAUGGCCUACCAAGGCGACGAUCCAUAGCUGGUCUGAGAGGAUGAUCAGCCACAUUGGGACUGAGACACGGCCCAAACUCCUACGGGAGGCAGCAGUGGGGAAUAUUGGACAAUGGGCGCAAGCCUGAUCCAGCCAUGCCGCGUGAGUGAUGAAGGCCCUAGGGUUGUAAAGCUCUUUCACCGGAGAAGAUAAUGACGGUAUCCGGAGAAGAAGCCCCGGCUAACUUCGUGCCAGCCGCCGCAGUAAAAC